GCGGGUGUGGCGGAAUUGGUAGACGCACCAGAUUUAGGUUCUGGCGCCGCAAGGCGUGAAGGUUCAAGUCCUUUCACCCGCACCA
rnacentral:tRNA from 1 species